rnacentral:rRNA from 1 species
AAGGGGCAGUAAGGCGUGGGUAACCAACCCCGGGGACCGGGAUAGCCAUCCUAACGGGUGGGUAAUACCGGGCGAUGUGGCCGGAGCGCAUGUUCUGGACAUGAGAUGAAUUUCGCCUCGGGACGGGCUCACGUGGUAUUAGCUUGUUGGCGGGGUAACGGCCCACCAAGGCAAAGAUGCCUAGCUGGUGUGAGAGCACGACCAGCGCCACUGGCACUGAGACACUGGCCAGACACCUACGGGUGGCUGCAGUCGAGGAUCUUCGGCAAUGGGCGCAAGCCUGACCGAGCGACGCCGCGUGCGCGACGAAGGCCUUCGGGUUGUAAAGCGCUGUCGGGGGGGAGAAAGCCGAAAGGUUGAUCUAUCCCCGGAGGAAGCACGGGCUAAGUUCGUGCCAGCAGCCGCGGUAAGACGAACCGUGCGAACGUUGUUCGGAAUCACUGGGCUUAAAGGGCGCGUAGGCGGUUCAUCAAGUCAGGGGUGAAAUCUUUCGGCUCAACCGGAAAAGUGCCCCUGAUACUGAUGAUCUCGAGGGAGGUAGGGGCCUGUGGAACUUCUGGUGGAGCGGUGAAAU